UACGGAGGGUGCAAGCGUUAUCCGGAUUUACUGGGUUUAAAGGGUGCGUAGGUGGGUUGGUAAGUCAGUGGUGAAAUACUUUCGCUUAACGAAGGAACUGCCAUUGAUACUAUCAAUCUUGAAUGUAGUGGAGGUAGGCGGAAUGCGUCAUGUAGCGGUGAAAUGCUUUGAUAUGACGCAGAACACCAAUUGCGAAGGCAGCUUGCUACACUACUAUUGACACUGAGGCACGAAAGCGUGGGGAUCAAACAGG
rnacentral:rRNA from 1 species